AAGGGAGACCUAAUUCAGGUAUGGGACGAAAAAAAAGUAGUCGCUACCAAGAAUCAAUCCCAAAAGGUCGGAGCGAGGCAAAAUUGGCUUUCAAACUAGGUUCUGGGUUCACACAAGACCUGAAUCAGGAACAAGGGCUAUUAGCUCAGGUGGUUAGAGCGCACCCCUGAUAAGGGUGAGGUCCCUGGUUCGAGUCCAGGAUGGCCCACCUGCACAGGUGGAAGAAAGAAAAGAAGCUCCGAAUCAGCACCUUAUCUUACUUAUAUAGUAAGAGAGAAUGCUGGCUCUGAGUACAGAGUCCAGAGGAACCUUGAAAACUGCAUAGAGCUAGGUGAAAAAGCCAAAAAAGAAGACCGCAAGGUCAAGCUAAUAAGGGCUAACGGUGGAUACCUAGGCAC
rnacentral:tRNA from 1 species